UAUGAAAAUUUAAACAAAACAAAUUAUUUACUGAAACCAGUACAAAUGGUGUGUUGUCAUGUGAAGUGAGCCGCCACAAGGUAGGUCACUUACAAAAGUUCCAACAUUAAGAUGUCAAUUUUACCUCCAUUUCAG